rnacentral:rRNA from 1 species
UACGUAGGGGGCAAGCGUUGUCCGGAUUUACUGGGCGUAAAGGGCGCGUAGGCGGCCCGCUAAGUCGAACGUGAAAUCCCCGAGCUCAACUCGGGAACUGCGUCCGAUACUGGCGGGCUUGAAUCCGGGAGAGGGAUGCGGAAUUCCAGGUGUAGCGGUGAAAUGCGUAGAUAUCUGGAGGAACACCGGUGGCGAAGGCGGCAUCCUGGACCGGUAUUGACGCUGAGGCGCGAAAGCCAGGGGAGCAAACGGG